UACCAGCUCUCCGAGUGGUAGGGAUGAUUAUUGGGCUUAAAGCGUCCGUAGCCGGCUUGGCAAGUUUCCUGUUAAACUCUGCGACUUAAUCGUUGAAUCGCGGGAAAUACUACUAGGCUAGGAGGCGGGAGAGGUCAACGGUACUUCUGGGGUAGGGGUGAAAUCCUAUAAUCCCGGGAGGACCACCAGUGGCGAAGGCUGUUGACUAGAACGCGCUCGACGGUGAGGGACGAAAGCUGGGGGAGCGAACCGGAUUAGAUACCCGGGUAGUCCCAGCUGUAAACGAUGCGGGCUAGGUGUUGGGAUGGCUACGUGCCAUUUCAGUGCUGCAGGGAAGCCAUUAAGCCCGCCGCCUGGGGAGUACGGCCGCAAGGCUGAAACUUAAAGGAAUUGGCGGGGAGCACCACAAGGCGUGAAGCUUGCGGUUC
rnacentral:rRNA from 1 species